rnacentral:tRNA from 1 species
GGAGGGUGAAGCGUCGAGGCGGCGCGAUCGGCUGAUAACCGGGAGUCCGGGCUAGUCACCCGGAUGGAGUUCGAGUCUCCCGCCCUCCGCCA